rnacentral:rRNA from 1 species
UACGUAGGGACCGAGCGUUUGUCCGGAUUUAUUGGGCGUAAAGAGCGUGUAGGCGGCUUUACAGGUCCGUUGUGAAAACUCGAGGCUCAACCUCGAGAUGUCGGCGGAAACCGUCUGGCUAGAGUCCGGAAGAGGAGAGUGGAAUUCCUGGUGUAGCGGUGAAAUGCGCAGAUAUCAGGAAGAACACCUAUGGCGAAGGCGGCUUACUGGUCCGGUACUGACGCUGAGGUGCGAAAGCGUGGGGAGCAAACGGG